rnacentral:rRNA from 1 species
GACGAACGCUGGCGGCGUGCCUAAUACAUGCAAGUAGAACGCUGAAGAGAGGAGCUUGCUCUUCUUGGAUGAGUUGCGAACGGGUGAGUAACGCGUAGGUAACCUGCCUGGUAGCGGGGGAUAACUAUUGGAAACGAUAGCUAAUACCGCAUGAUAUUAAUUAUUGCAUGAUAAUUGAUUGAAAGAUGCAAUUGCAUCACUACCAGAUGGACCUGCGUUGUAUUAGCUAGUUGGUGAGGUAACGGCUCACCAAGGCGACGAUACAUAGCCGACCUGAGAGGGUGAUCGGCCACACUGGGACUGAGACACGGCCCAGACUCCUACGGGAGGCAGCAGUAGGGAAUCUUCGGCAAUGGGGGGAACCCUGACCGAGCAACGCCGCGUGAGUGAAGAAGGUUUUCGGAUCGUAAAGCUCUGUUGUAAGAGAAGAACGGGUGUGAGAGUGGAAAGUUCACACUGUGACGGUAUCUUACCAGAAAGGGACGGCUAACUACGUGCCAGCAGCCGCGGUAAUACGUAGGUCCCGAGCGUUGUCCGGAUUUAUUGGGCGUAAAGCGAGCGCAGGCGGUUAGAUAAGUCUGAAGUUAAAGGCUGUGGCUUAACCAUAGUAUGCUUUGGAAACUGUUUAACUUGAGUGCAGAAGGGGAGAGUGGAAUUCCAUGUGUAGCGGUGAAAUGCGUAGAUAUAUGGAGGAACAUCGGUGGCGAAAGCGGCUCUCUGGUCUGUAACUGACGCUGAGGCUCGAAAGCGUGGGGAGCAAACAGG